AGGGAGGGGGAGGAAGUAGCGAGCUAGCUCUCUAUUUUGUUUGAAAGUCAACAGAAGUGACGUGACGUUACCCAGCAUCGCUUAGAGCAUCUUUAACCUUUAACCUUUAACCCUUAGUGUAACAGCACAGGGCCUUUAUGGGGCCACCUGCAUGGACAAUAUCCCUUUAGGCCAAGAGAAAGUUAUUUAUUUUGUGUUAUUUGAUUUGAAUCUGGUUUAUUUUUGCAGUAUUUAAUAAAAAAAGACUCACUUGUAUCUCUCAAAUGGUUUGUAAAUGAAGAGUUUGAAAUGUAGGCAGUUAUUUUUUUACCAUGUUUUUUUUUACGUUAAAUUCUUUGGUUUGAAACAUGGCAAUCACAGACUUGGCCAGUGGUUGUAAGUGAUGGCCCUCAUUGGAAAUGAGCUUGUUCGUAAUCAUUUAGAAGUUAUAAAACUGUAAAAAAAAACAAUGAAAUCAUGUGAUUUAGUAUUUAUGUCUGUACAGUUUGCUAAUGCUGACAUUAAACAUGCUUUUGUUUGCUUUGAAAAGUGAUCUCAUGUUUUUAUUUUUAUUUUUUAAAAGAAACAUCAGCCACAUCAGUGGGCAUAACAUCAUAGAUCUUUAUUUGGCCUCUUUAGCGUAACAUCAUAGGUCUUUAUUUGGGCUCUUUAGCAGAGUGGGCAUAACAUCAUAGGUCUUUAUUUGGGCUCUUUAGCGGUCAUCACAGAGUGGGCAUAACAUCAUAGGUCUUUAUUUGGGCUCUUUAGUGGUCAUCACAGAGUGGGCAUAACAUCAUAGGUCUUUAGCGGUCACCACAGAGUGGGCAUAACAUCAUAGGUCUUUAGUGGUCAUCACAGAGUGGGCAUAACAUCAUAGGUCUUUAUUUGGGCUCUUUAGCAGAGUGGGCAUAACAUCAUAUGUCUUUAUUUGGGCUCUUUAGCGGUCACCACAGAGUGGGCAUAACAUCAUAGGUCUUUAUUUGGGCUCUUUAGCGGUCACCACAGAGUGAGCAUAAUAUAAUAGGUCUU